rnacentral:rRNA from 1 species
AUUCUGGUUGAUCCUGCCAAUACGAUAAUCUUGUUUCAAAGAUUAAGCCAUGCAAAUCUAAGUUCGCCUCUCAAUUGCUUGCAAUUGAGACAAGUAAACUGUGGAAGGCUCCUUAUAUAAGUGAGCAUUUAAUCGAUUCGAUCUUUCUACAGGGAUAACUAAACUAACCGUUUAGCUAAUACCUGAAUAAAAAAAGAGGUCUCGUACCUCUCGCAGAACUCACGUUUUGGAACACGGGGUUCAAUGAGGCGAUCUGUUCGCAGAUUGCCCGGUAAACCGUUACGAGGUUUGCUUAUGCAUGAAUCCAAGUCGCUUUUGAGUGGCUUGGAGACUCGCGGUCGAAUCAAUAACUCUCUUCUGGAUUAGUUGUGUUGCUGGGAUAGGGACCCAGCAAGACGUUGAUCCAUCCGAGAAAUCAGCGUUUGAUUUCGGAGAAAAAGCCUUAAAAACCGCUAUUACAUCUAAGGAAGGCAGCAGGCGCGAAAAUUACCCAAUGGGAAAUUCCCGAGGUAGUGACCAAACAUAAUGACCUUAGUCAAUGACUAAGGGGGAACUUCGGUUCCGUUAAUGAGGACAAGUUAAAAAGCUGUCCGAGAAGCAAGUAGAGGAUUAGUCUGGUGCCAGCACCUGCGGUAAUUCCAGCUCUGCUAGAUUAUUGUACUAGUGCUGUUGUUAAAACGUUCGUAUCCACAUAAGCGGCUGAGGCUGUCAGCCUGCUUUGUGUCCUGUCCGGGAUCCGACACGUUUUGUGUCAGGUACUGGAUCCAAAUGGCGGCCUUUUGGUCGAGGAAACAUUGCCUUUGGCGAAAUCAAUCACUUCCACGGAAGGAUUGUGCUCGUAGGUUGCAGCUUUGGUUGCGAACCCGGUGUUGUGAAUCAAUCAGAGUGAUUCAGGCAGGCUUAAGCCACUUUGUGGUAACGCCUGAAUGAUCAAGCAUGAUACACCAACGACUCGGCUAGUGGCAAACCUAGUUUGCGCUGGCUGAAAUAGCAAUGAAGUAUGCUUGGGUCAGAAGUAUUGGCUGGCUAGGGGUGAAAUCCAAUAACCCAGCCAAGACUAGCAGAAGCGAAAGCAUCUGUCCAAAGUUUGCUUGUCGAUGAUGAACGAAAGUUGAAAGAGCAAAGAUGAUUAGAUACCGUUGUAGCUUCAACCCUAAACGAUGUCAACCAAUCAUCUGGUAAAAAUUGUCUUAUGAUUUUCCAGAUGGUAACGAGAAAUCUUUGAGUUAUUCGAUUCAAGGGGUAGUAUUGUCGCAAGGCUGAAACUUAAAGGAAUUGACGGAAAAGCACCACCAGGCGUGGAAUAUGUGGCUUAAUUCGACUCCACACGGGGAAAUCUUACUAAAAUAGGACACAAGUUGGAUUGACGAGCUACAGACUCUUCUUAAUUUUGUGGAUAGUGGUGCAUGGCCAUUCUUAGUUCGUGGAUUGAUCUGUCUUGUUAAUUCAGAUAACGAGCGAGACCUUAAUUAGUUGUUGGGAGCGCAGCUGCACUUCGUGUGUAGCAAUAGUUCUUUAUGGAUUGCGUUAGUCGUGCCUCACGGCCGACAAUACCCCUACUAAGAUUACCGGCUCUCAAGCCGGUAGAAAUUAAGACAAUAAUAGGUCUGUGAUGCCCUUAGAUAUUUUAGGAUGCACGCGUGUUACAAUGAUUGACACAGUGAGUAUGGAUUGGAACUUUUUGUCUCCAAUUGCCUGGUUCGAGAGGAUCGGGAAAACUUGCCAAUGUCAAGCUUGGUUAGGAUUGUUUUCUGUAAAGAAGGCAUGAAUCAGGAAUGCCUUGUAGAUGCUUUUCAACAGAAAGCUUCGAAUACGUCCCUGCUUUUUGUACACACCGCCCGCGCAUCAAGGGACUUAGUUGAGACAAUGAAAUAGUGACCCCGACUCUUCGGAGUUAGGUGAGAUUUGAAUAGUCUUAAUUCUACCAUGAUGAAGUCGUAACAAGGUAUUCGUAGGUGAACCUGCAGAAGGAUCA